GCCUAUGGUGUGACCUCUGAAGGAGAAACAGCUAAAUGCAAGAUAGUUGUUUGUGAUCCAACCUAUUUAACUGAUAAGGUCCAUAAGGUUGGAAAAGUUGCUCGUGCAGUAUGCAUAAUGAGCCAUCCUAUCCCUGACACAAACGACUCCCAUUCUGCUCAGGUUAUUCUGCCACAGAAACAACUUGGUCACAAAUCAGACAUGUACUUGUUCUGCUGCUCUUAUACUCACAAUGUUGCCCCC